GUGGCUAAAAAUCGCAGAGUGACUGAUACACGAUCUCUCGGCGAGAUACAUUCUCUCAUGUUCGUAUUUUGACGUUGUAUAAAUGGUUUCACCAUAUCAACAAGUUGAUCAUAUAAAUCAGUUCGCAUUCUGAAGAAUCUUUGGAAACAUUCGCUGUCUUCGAAUCUCAAUUCUUUGUGCGCUAAAUGAAUUGUCCCCCUGAGAUUUCGAUUUCUUCGAACUAUCCAUUCGCGCAUCCAAACCGAUCGGCCACGUCGUUGCCGUUUGAAUUCUUCUUGUUCAAGUUCCUCGUCUUGCUCAACAGCUUCGGCUAAUAAAACAAUAGCCAUCAACUCUUUCAGUUUCCGCUUUUUAUCGGUCAUUUUUAAAAAAAAUGUUAAUUAUAAAUGUUUGGAUGACACCAAGGCUCAAAAAAUCUAAAAAUUUCACACCAUUCAAGUAAAUAUUGUCGUUACAGUGAGAAACAAAAACUUAAUAAUAAAAUAAAAACUUACAGUUAUAAUUCAAUAUUUAUACCCUUCCUUUUCAACAAUAUUAAAAGUACGAUGUUUGUACGAUGUUUAUAAUUUUAUCUGUUUAUUUAUCACCUCAAUUGUACACAUUAAAAUAUAUGUUGGUAUUUGGUUAAAAUUACGAGUCUAACUUCACAUAGCUGAUUGUAACACCAUCUGCAUUCAACAGAGGACAAACAUCUGGUGAUAAAAACUCUAUCCGAAAACUCGAUCCGAGUUCUCGGAUCGUGAACACAGGCCUUAACAGAGUCUGACCAACUUGACAGUUUUGGCAAAAUUCUGCGAGAGAGAUAGAAAUAUACGCUAUCUUACUUUAAAUACGAACGCAUGCGCAUGACAGUACUGCCACUGUUGCUUAUGAAAAGUGUCAGAAUUGUGAUCCGAAGUAAUUUUGAACAUUUUUGAAGAAUAAUUGUGCAGAAUGGGUGGGUGUGCUGCACCUUUUUGCAAUAAUUCUGCAAAAAAAGAUUAUGCCAUGAAAAUAUUUCCCAGAGAUUCGCAACGUCGAGCUUUAUGGGAACGAAAUGUUCAACGCGAAAAUUGGACAGCGACGAAUAAUUCAUGUCUCUGCGAGGUACAUUUUUUUCCGGAAAUGUGGAAACAAAGACGCGAUGGGAAGCAAAAAUUAAAAUCAGGAGCGAUUCCAACAAUAUUUGGAAUUUUUUUAAAAAAGAAUACAGAUAUAAACAGAAAUGAGCAAGCAUCAAAGGAACAUGCUAAAGAAGAGCAAAAGAGUAUCAAUAAUAUGUUGCAGGCAAACAUUGAGGAUUUGGAAUAUAAUACAAUAACAAACAACACUGCGGAGUGUAUUAAGGUGCCUUUUCAUGAGUCGCUGAAACCGAUUGUUUGAGCGACAAAAAUGAUCACGUGACAACUUUUGUCGCUGAACUAUACAGCGGUAAUUUUUGUACAUGAAAAGGGUAGCAGCAGCGACAAAAUUGAAAGUUGAUGACAGAUUUUGCGUUAUUUGUGUAAUCAGUCAAGACAGAUUUUGCGUUAGUUGUGUAAUUAGUUAUAUUAAUUUAUACAUUACGCAAUGGCUUCUAGAAAAAAAAAUAUUACAAUUAGCUAUUAAAUUGUAAUCAUAUGAUUCGAGAAAGUAAAAUAAAAUUUAAAAAUGAUAUUAUUUUUGCCAUUACUUUACUAUUGACAGGUCAAAUUCAAAAAAAAUAUUAUUCUAAAAAAAAGUUUUGGGUAGCACGGCUGUUUCAAAAUCGUAACGAGUAUGGAUUUUAUAAAGCUACCUUACCAUAUAUAAGAUUAGAAAGUGCAAGAUUUAUUAACUACUUUUGUAUGUCAUCAAAACAAUUGGAAGAUUUGAUACAAAUUGUUGCACCAAAACUCCAGAAGCAGACAUUUAUAAGAGAACCUGUCAAUGCUGAAGAACGUUUGUGUUUAAC